AGUGAACGCUGGCGGUAGGCAUAACACAUGCAAGUCGAACGGCAGCACAGUAAGAGCUUGCUCUUACGGGUGGCGAGUGGCGGACGGGUGAGGAAUACAUCGGAAUCUACUUUUUCGUGGGGGAUAACGUAGGGAAACUUACGCUAAUACCGCAUACGACCUACGGGUGAAAGCAGGGGAUCUUCGGACCUUGCGCGAUUGAAUGAGCCGAUGUCGGAUUAGCUAGUUGGCGGGGUAAAGGCCCACCAGGGCGACGAUCCGUAGCUGGUCUGAGAGGAUGGUCGGCCACACUGGAACUGAGACACGGUCCAGACUCCUACGGGAGGCGGCAGUGGGGAAUAUUGGACAGUGGGCGCAAGCCUGGUCCAGCCAUACCGAGUGGGUGAAGGAGGCCCUCGGGUUGUAAAGCCCUUUUGUUGGGAAAGAAAAGCAGCAGGUUAAUACCCCGCUGUUCUGACGGUACCCAAAGAAUAAGCACCGGCUAACUUCGUG
rnacentral:rRNA from 1 species